UGGAGGAGGACAGGGAAUAGCAGUAUGAUACAAGUAUGUAUCACUUCAGUGAGCAUGUAGCUCCAGCGAGGGAGAGUAAGAGCUUGAGUGAAGCUCACAGAAACCAGAGCCUGUUGCAGAAGUGGUGCAAGAAGCAAGAUAAGUUCAUCACCAUAUGCCUUAAGAGUAUCAAGUCUCUGAAGGCCAUGGUUAGCUGCUCCUCUUCCAGCACAGCAAUGCCA